rnacentral:rRNA from 1 species
AUUGAACGCUGGCGGCAUGCUUUACACAUGCAAGUCGAACGGUAACAGGCCUUCGGGUGCUGCCGAGUGGCGAACGGGUGAGUAAUGCAUCGGAACGUGCCCAGAGGUGGGGGAUAACGCAGCGAAAGCUGUGCUAAUACCGCAUGUGAUCUGAGGAUGAAAGCGGGGGACCAAGCAGCAAUGUUUGGCCUCGCGCCUCUGGAGCGGCCGAUGUCAGAUUAGGUAGUUGGUGGGGUAAAGGCCUACCAAGCCGACGAUCUGUAGCUGGUCUGAGAGGACGACCAGCCACACUGGGACUGAGACACGGCCCAGACUCCUACGGGAGGCAGCAGUGGGGAAUUUUGGACAAUGGGCGCAAGCCUGAUCCAGAAAUGCCGCGUGCGGGAAGAAGGCCUUCGGGUUGUAAACCGCUUUUGUACGGAACGAAAAGGCUCUGGCUAAUACCUGGGGCUGAUGACGGUACCGUAAGAAUAAGCACCGGCUAACUACGUG